rnacentral:rRNA from 1 species
UACGUAGGGCGCAAGCGUUGUCCGGAAUUAUUGGGCGUAAAGAGCUCGUAGGCGGUCUGUCGCGUCUGUUGUGAAAAACUCGAGGCUCAACCUCGGGCUUGCAGUGGAUACGGGCAGACUAGAGUGCGGUAGGGGGAGACUGGAAUUCCUGGUGUAGCGGUGGAAUGCGCAGAUAUCAGAGGAACACCGAUGGCGAAGGCAGGUCUCUGGCCGCAACUGACGCUGAGGAAGCGAAAGCAUGGGGAGCGAACAGGA